rnacentral:rRNA from 1 species
UACGUAGGGUGCAAGCGUUGUCCGGAAUUAUUGGGCGUAAAGAGCUCGUAGGCGGUGUGUCGCGUCGGCCGUGAAAACCUGCAGCUUAACUGUGGGCGUGCGGUCGAUACGGGCAUCACUGGAGUUCGGCAGGGGAGACUGGAAUUCCUGGUGUAGCGGUGAAAUGCGCAGAUAUCAGGAGGAACACCGGUGGCGAAGGCGGGUCUCUGGGCCGAUACUGACGCUGAGGAGCGAAAAGCGUGGGGGAGCAAACAGG